GAUGAAGAACGUAGCGAAAUGCGAUAAGUAAUGUGAAUUGCAGAAUUCAGUGAAUCAUCGAAUCUUUGAACGUACCUUGCACCCUUUGGCAUUCUGAAGGGUAUGCUCGUUUGAGUGUCAUUGUACUCUCACACUCCCGAUCUUUGCAUUGGGAGCAGUGGACUUGGGUUUGCUGCUUCACCGUCGCUUACCUCAAAUAGGUUAGUGCAACUCUUGGUUGGACAUAGUACGGCGUGAUAAGUGUUCUUCGCCGGUGCCUCGCAAAGAGGGUGGCCGAUCGGGAUGUUGUGCUCCAAACCGUCUUCGGACAAUCUCUGACGACUUGACCUCAAAUCGAGUAAGACUACCCGCUGAACUUAAGCAUAUCAAUAAGCGGAGGA
rnacentral:misc_RNA from 1 species